rnacentral:rRNA from 1 species
CUAAGAAUAUUCCGCAAUGGACGGAAGUCUGACGGAGCGACGCCGCGUGGAUGACGAAGGCCGAAAGGUUGUAAAGUUCUUUUGCUGGGGAAGAAUAACCGCAGGAGGGAAUGCCUGUGGGAUGACAAGAACCGGCGAAUAAGCCCCGGCCAACUACGUGCCAGCAGCCGCGGUAACACGUAGGGGGCGAGCGUUGUUCGGAAUUACUGGGCGUAAAGGGCAUGUAGGCGGCUUGGAAAGCCUGGCGUGAAAGUCUGCAGCUUAACUGCAGGGGUGCGCUGGGAACUGCUGAGCUUGAGUGACGGAGAGGGAGCUGGAAUUCCUGGUGUAGGGGUGAAAUCUGUAGAUAUCAGGAAGAACACCGAUGGCGAAGGCAAGCUCCCGGCCGAUGACUGACGCUGAGGUGCGAAAGUGUGGGGAUCAAACAGGAUUAGAUACCCUGGUAGUCCACACAGUCAACGAUGUGCACUAGGUGCUGGGGCGGUAGCUUCGGUGCCGGAGCGAACGUGGUAAGUGCACCGCCUGGGGGAGUAUGCUCGCAA